rnacentral:rRNA from 1 species
GACGAACGCUGGCGGCGUGCCUAAUACAUGCAAGUAGAACGCACAGUUUAUACCGUAGCUUGCUACACCAUAGACUGUGAGUUGCGAACGGGUGAGUAACGCGUAGGUAACCUGCCUGGUAGCGGGGGAUAACUAUUGGAAACGAUAGCUAAUACCGCAUAAUAUUAAUUAUUGCAUGAUAAUUAAUUGAAAGGUGCAAUUGCACCACUACCAGAUGGACCUGCGUUGUAUUAGCUAGUAGGUGAGGUAACGGCUCACCUAGGCGACGAUACAUAGCCGACCUGAGAGGGUGAUCGGCCACACUGGGACUGAGACACGGCCCAGACUCCUACGGGAGGCAGCAGUAGGGAAUCUUCGGCAAUGGACGAAAGUCUGACCGAGCAACGCCGCGUGAGUGAAGAAGGUAUUCGGAUCGUAAAGCUCUGUUGUAAGAGAAGAACGGGUGUGAGAGUGGAAAGUUCACACUGUGACGGUAUCUUACCAGAAAGGGACGGCUAACUACGUG